rnacentral:rRNA from 1 species
GAUGAACGCUGGCGGCGUGCCUAAUACAUGCAAGUCGAGCGAAUGGAUUGAGAGCUUACUCUUAUGAAGUUAGCGGCGGACGGGUGAGUAACACGUGGGUAACCUGCCCUUGACUCUGGGAUAACUGCGGGAAACUGUAGCUAAUACCGGAUACGACCCUCGGAGGCAUCUCCUGGGGGUGGAAAGAAUUUCGGUCAAGGAUGGACUCGCGGCCUAUCAGCUAGUUGGUGGGGUAACGGCUCACCAAGGCGACGACGGGUAGCCGGCCUGAGAGGGUGACCGGCCACACUGGGACUGAGACACGGCCCAGACUCCUACGGGAGGCAGCAGUGGGGAAUAUUGCACGAUGGGCGCAAGCCUGAUGCAGCAACGCCGCGUGAGGGAUGACGGCCUUCGGGUUGUAAACCUCUUUUAGUAGGGAAGAAGCGAAAGUGACGGUACCUGCAGAAAAAGCACCGGCUAACUACGUGCCAGCCGCCGCGGUAA